GGUCAAUGAUGUUAUGGCAUGUAUUAGCUGAAUGCACAGUUGAUGUGAGUUCUUCAAAUUACACUGAGACCUU
rnacentral:snoRNA from 1 species